GGAUGUGGCUCAGUGGUAGAGAGCUUGCCUAGCAUGCAGAAGGCCCUGGGCUCAAUCCCCAGCAUCUCA
rnacentral:tRNA from 1 species